GAUGAACGCUGGCGGCGUGCCUAAUACAUGCAAGUCGAGCGAACGGACGAGAAGCUUGCUUCUCUGAUGUUAGCGGCGGACGGGUGAGUAACACGUGGAUAACCUACCUAUAAGACUGGGAUAACUUCGGGAAACCGGAGCUAAUACCGGAUGAUAUUUUGAACCGCAUGGUUCAAAAGUGAAAGACGGUCUUGCUGUCACUUAUAGAUGGAUCCGCGCUGCAUUAGCUAGUUGGUAAGGUAACGGUUACCAAGGCAACGAUGCAUAGCCGACCUGAGAGGGUGAUCGGCCACACUGGAACUGAGACACGGUCCAGACUCCUACGGGAGGCAGCAGUAGGGAAUCUUCCGCAAUGGGCGAAAGCCUGACGGAGCAACGCCGCGUGGGUGAUGAAGGUCUUCGGAUCGUAAAACUCUGUUAUUAGGGAAGAACAUAUGUGUAAGUAACUGUGCACAUCUUGACGGUACCUAAUCAGAAAGCCACGGCUAACUACGUG
rnacentral:rRNA from 1 species